rnacentral:lncRNA from 1 species
CGGAAACAUCAUCUCAUUUGCCUAUAAGACAGAGAGAGAGAAUGAUAGAAAUGCUGGAAGAACGAGCCUUGGGGCGGUAUCGCCCAGAUCUGAAUCCACACAGCAGCUGCUUCGGUCCCUGUAACUCAAGGCUUCCUCUUAAUCCUCUGUCCUCCAUCAACACCUGGCUGAGCAGGAACAACUAUGACCUAGGACCAGGGCCUUCAGGAAUCUUCACCCCUAACUUGAACUUCAUAACACUGGAGAGAGAGACUGUGGAAUGGAAUGACUCUCCAGAGCUGCAGAUUGAAGGCAUAUUUUCAUCUGACUUUGGUGAUUAUGUUUCCAAUCUCUCUGGGAAUAAGGUGUGUUUGG